AAUAGAUACCCGGGUAGUCCACGCCGUAAACGAUGAGUGCUAAGUGUUAGAGGGUUUCCGCCCUUUAGUGCUGCAGCUAACGCAUUAAGCACUCCGCCUGGGGAGUACGGUCGCAAGACUGAAACUCAAAGGAAUUGACGGGGGCCCGCACAAGCGGUGGAGCAUGUGGUUUAAUUCGAAGCAACGCGAAGAACCUUACCAGGUCUUGACAUCCUCUGACAACUCUAGAGAUAGAGCGUUCCCCUUCGGGGGGACAGAGUGACAGGUGGUGCAUGGUUGUCGUCAGCUCGUGUCGUGAGAUGUUGGGUUAAGUCCCGCAACGAGCGCAACCCUUGAUCUUAGUUGCCAGCAUUUAGUUGGGCACUCUAAGGUGACUGCCGGUGACAAACCGGAGGAAGGUGGGGAUGACGUCAAAUCAUCAUGCCCCUUAUGACCUGGGCUACACACGUGCUACAAUGGAUGGUACAAAGGGCUGCAAGCCGCGAGGUCAAGCCAAUCCCAUAAAACCAUUCUCAGUUCGGA
rnacentral:rRNA from 1 species